UACAGAGGGGGCAAGCGUUAUUCGGAAUUAUUGGGCGUAAAGGGCGCGUAGGCGGUCUGACAAGUGGAAGGUGAAAUCCCCGCGCUUAACGUGGGAACUGCCUUCCAAACUGUUUGACUUGAGCCCGGGAGAGGUGAGUGGAAUUCCCAGUGUAGCGGUGAAAUGCGUAGAUAUUGGGAGGAACACCAGUGGCGAAGGCGGCUCACUGGACCGGAACUGACGCUGAGGCGCGAAAGCUAGGGGAGCAAACGGG
rnacentral:rRNA from 1 species